UACAGAGGGGGCGAGCGUUGUUCGGAAUUACUGGGCGUAAAGGGCGCGUAGGCGGCCCGCUAAGUCGAACGUGAAAUCCCCAGGCUCAACCUGGGAACUGCGUCCGAUACUGGCAGGCUUGAAUCCGGGAGAGGGAUGUGGAAUUCCAGGUGUAGCGGUGAAAUGCGUAGAUAUCUGGAGGAACACCGGUGGCGAAGGCGGCUUCCUGGACCGACACUGACGCUGAGGCGCGAAAGCUAGGGGAGCAAACAGG
rnacentral:rRNA from 1 species